AACCACUUCUGUGGUCAUCCGUAAAAAUUGGAACGAUACAGAGAAGAUUAGCAUGCCCCUGCACAAGAUGACACGCAUAAAUCGAGAAGUAUCGCACUUUUGC
rnacentral:snRNA from 1 species